GGCAAUUGGCACAUAUAACCUUCCAAAAGUUUAAAAGUACAAAAAGAAAGACCGAAACAAAAAGAAUGCAACACAAAAGCGAUAUCGUACGCCACACUGUCUGGCAAACCCGAAAACUGGUAACGCGUGUUGUUUAAGGGUCUAUUUUUAUCAAACGGAGGAACUCUUUAGGAAAUGCACAGCGCAGCAACAACCCUACAUGGACCCCGGGCGGUCCGGAACUCUGUCUCACAGCAGAAACCCGGAAGUCUAGUAGCACCUCCGCUUCAGCUGGACGCCGGGUUACCCAGGCCGGCUGCACAACAAGUUAAAUGACCAUUUCAUAUUAAUUGCCUGAAAUCGUAGUUCAUUACGGCCUAGUGCGGAAUACAUUUGUAUGUUUUUA